rnacentral:rRNA from 1 species
GGAAUUUUCCACAAUGGGCGAAAGCCUGAUGGAGCAAUGCCGCGUGCAGGAUGAAGGCCUUCGGGUUGUAAACUGCUUUUAUGUGAGACGAAUAUGACGGUAACACAUGAAUAAGGACCUGCUAACUACGUGCCAGCAGCCGCGGUCAUACGUAGGGUCCAAGCGUUAUCCGGAAUUACUGGGCGUAAAGAGUUGCGUAGGUGGCAGAGUAAGUAGAUAGUGAAAGCGUGUGGCUCAACCAUACAUCCAUUAUCUAAACUGCUCAGCUAGAGAACGAGAGAGGUAGAUGGAAUUCCCUGUGUAGGAGUGAAAUCCGUAGAUAUAGGGAGGAACACCGAUGGCGUAGGCAGUCUACUGGCUCGUUUCUGACACUAAGGCACGAAAGCGUGGGGAGCAAA